rnacentral:rRNA from 1 species
UUCCGGUUGAUCCUGCCGGAGGUCAACUUCUAUUGGGAUUCGACUAAGGCCAUGCGAGUCGAGAGGGUUCGGCCCUCGGCUGACGGCUCAGUAACACGUGGAUAAUCUGCCCUUAGGUGGAGGAUAAUCUCGGGAAACUGAGGAUAAUACUCCAUAGAUCUAGGAUGCUGGAAUGCAUUUAGAUUGAAAGCUCCGGCGCCUAAGGAUGAGUCUGCGGACUAUCAGGUUGUAGUCAGGAUAAAGACCUGACUAGCCUAUGACGGAUACGGGUUGUGAGAGCAAUAACCCGGAGACGAUAUCUGAGACACGAUAUCGGGCCCUACGGGGCGCAGCAGGCGCGAAAACUUCACACUGUGCGAAAGCGCGAUGAGGGAAUCCCAAGUGCUUACUCGUAAGAGUAAGCUGUUUCUUUGUCUAAAAAGCAGAGAGAGUAAGGGCUGGGUAAGACGGGUGCCAGCCGCCGCGGUAAUACCUGCAGCUCAAGUGGUGAUCAUUAUUAUUGGGCCUAAAACGUCCGUAGCCGGUUUAGUAAAUGCCUGGGUAAAUCGUGUAGCUUAACUAUACGAAUUCCGGGUAGACUGCUAAACUUGAGACCGGGAGAGGCUAGAGGUACUCCUGGGGUAGAGGUGAAAUUCUGUAAUCCUAGGGGGACCACCAGUGGCGAAGGCGUCUAGCUAGAACGGGUCUGACGGUGAGGGACGAAGCCCUGGGGCGCAAACCGGAUUAGAUACCCGGGUAGUCCAGGGUGUAAACGCUGCUUGCUUGAUGUUAGUUGGGCUCCGAGCCCAACUAGUGUCGGAGAGAAGUUGUUAAGCAAGCUGCCUGGGAAGUACGGUCGCAAGGCUGAAACUUAAAGGAAUUGGCGGGGGAGCACAGCAACGGGUGGAGCGUGCGGUUUAAUUGGAUUCAACGCCGGG